GGUCUAUUUAUAUCCCCCCGACCCACUGGGGGUAAAAGGAAAUUAUAACAAAACCUAUUUUAAAAGGGGGACUUAAAAGACUGUAACAAUUAGAAAGGAAACGCGCUUUUAUCAAUGCCUGCAAGAUUAAUUUGCUCUAUUAUCUUGUCUCGUAUCAGAACAGCAAUAGAUGAGAGACUAAGAGACGAACAGGCUGGUUUUCGACCGGAUAAGUAAUGUUCAGAUCAACUGUUUGUUCUGAGAAAUAUCGCAGAACAAAACAAAUAAUGAAAUGUCUCAAUUUUUAAAAACUUACUGGACUUGAGUCUUAGACGAAGUUGACGGAGAGGCCCUGUUGAAUUUUUUUGCAAUAUAUGGCAUCCCAACAAAAGUAAGAAACUGUAUAAGAUCAUUAUAUUAUACCAAAGCAAGCUGCUGUGUUGAAAGAGAACUAUCUAUAUCUUUUUAAGUAAAUACUGUUGUUGGACAAGGCUGUAUAUUAUCACCUGUACUUUUUGGAAUUGUGAUCGAUUUUGUAAUGAGACAGAGCAAAGACAUUAAAACAAACAUUGCAUGGACAAGUGGCACAUAUUUAACAGAUUUAGAUUUUGCGGAUGACAUCUGCCUAUUAAACACCAAAGUACAUGAAAUGCAAUCAAAAUCAGAAGUACUAGCAAAAGUUGCAGAAAAAGUUGACCUUAUAAUAAAUGUAUCUAAAAUAGAAGUACUACGACUAUUAUCAGAAACUACGCCCAUCACUCUUUAUUGAGAACCCCAAGUAGAAAUAAUUAUUAAAUUCAAGUACCUUAGCAGCAUUAAAUCCAAAACUGCAGACUGCCUUGACGACGUCCACGGAAGACUUAAAAAUACCCUGAUCGCUUUUGUGAAAUUAGAAACUAUGUAUGGAAGUUAAAGAUCAUUUCAUUGAAGACGAAAUUAAAAUAAAUAUAAGAAUAGCAAUAUUUUUGUCUGUAUUGACGUAUGGGUCAGAGACAUGGGCAACAAACAAAACAAUUCAACGAAAAUGAAAAAAGCUUCGGUACAAAAUGUUUACUAAAAAUCUUUACUAAUGAAAUAUAAUUAGUUCAUUGCAAAUAAAGAAGUGUUGGAAAGAGCAUGAAUUUAGGAUAUCAACACAUCCACACGCCUACUCGUAGUAUUUGAAACCAACUGGAAAAAACAAACGAGGAAGACCAACUGGAA